rnacentral:lncRNA from 1 species
CAAAUCUCCGGCUGGACGCAGGCAGGCAGGCAUCGAAACGGACGGAGGGAUGGACACGGGGGCAGGGCCUUUCACAGGGUCCGAGGAAGUGCGCUUCAGCUUGUCCCGCAUCUGUCUUAUCAACUUCGGUUGGUCGCCACCCGUGGAUCUCAGCUGUGGUUGUAUAGGUGACAAUAAAACAGGCUCAGGACUGUCACCGGGCAUGCAUUGCCAACCACUCAAAUGA